rnacentral:rRNA from 1 species
AGGUCUGACCUGCCCACUGAAAUUAUUUUAAAUGGCCGCAGUAAUUUGACUGUGCAAAGGUAGCAUAAUCAUUAGUUUUUUAAUUAAAAGCUUGUAUGAAGGGUUGGACGAGAUAAAAUCUGUCUCUAUUUAAUUUAAUAUAAAAUUUAAUUUUUAAGUUAAAAAGCUUAAAUUUUUUUAAAAGACGAGAAGACCCUAUAGAUCUUUAUAGUUUUGAUUUUGAAUUUAAUUAAUAAAUUUUUAUGAUUUAUAAUUUAAACUAUUUUAUUGGGGUAAUAGAAAGAUUAAAAUAAUUCUUUUUUUCUUUAAACAUUUAUUUAUGUUUUUAAUGAUCCAAUUUUAUUGAUUAUAAGAUUAAGUUACCUUAGGGAUAACAGCGUAAUUUUUUUAGAGAGUUCUUAUCGAUAAAAAAGUUUGCGACCUCGAUGUUGGAUUAAAGAUUAGUUUAGGUGUAGAAGUUUAAAUUUUUGGUCUGUUCGACCAUUAAAUCUUUACAUGAUCUGAGUUCAGACCGGCGUAAGCCAGGUCGGUUUCUAUCUUUAAUAAUUUUAAAAUAUUUUAGUACGAAAGGACCAAAUAUUUAAUAUAUUUAUAUUUAAUUUUUUGAAUAUUAUUAAAAAUUAUUUUGGCAGAAUAGUGCAAUGAAUUUAGAAUUCAUAAAUGUAAUUUUAUUACAAAUAAUACUUGUUUUUUUUAGAUGUAAUUUUUUCUUUAGUAUGUAUAUUUUUAUUAAUUAUUUGUGUUUUAGUUGGAGUUGCUUUUUUAACAUUAUUAGAG